GGUCGUGUAGUGUAAUGGUUAGCACACAGGAUUUUGAUUCCUGUAAUCCAAGUUUGAUCCUUGGUAUGACCU